rnacentral:rRNA from 1 species
AUGGAUCCUAGCUACUGUCGCAGAUCAAAGAGUGAGGAUGAGUUUGCUCUUUUUGUUCUUCCUACUUUAGGAGAACACUCAUAUUCCUCAAGGAGACCUAUGCACACUUCAAUACUCACAGGUGCACGGCGUGUAAAUAAAAUUUUAAAUGGACAUGAAGACCUAUGCAAAAGGCAUUUCAGAAUGGAGACUGUUAUAUUUCAAGCUUUGGUUCAGAAAUUGCGCGAGAAUGAUCGCCUUGUUGAUGGAAGAGAUGUCUCAGUAGAAGAACAAGUGGCUAUAUUUUUGUAUGCAUUAUCUAAGAAUGCAACAAAUGAUACUUUGGCAGAUUGGUUUCAGCAUAGUGGACAAACAAUCAAUUACUAUUUUGGUGAAGUGCUCAGUGCAAUUACCGAACUCUAUUCUGUAUACAUACGUCCACCUUCCCUACACCCGCAUCCAAUCUUGAGUAAAGAAAAGUUCUACCCUUUCUUUAUGAAUUGCAUCGGCGCUAUAGAUGGUACACAUAUUCCAUUGAAACUACCUGCUGAUGAGCAAGAACCAUAUCGCAAUAGGAAGCAAACAUUGUCGCAAAAUGUUAUGGUAGCAUGUGAUUUUGAUCUGAAGUUUGUGCAUGUGCAUGCUGGUUGGGAGGGAUCGGCUUCAGAUGCAAGAGUCCUACAGGAUGCACUUAACCAUGGUUUUCAAGUACCCCUCGGAAAAUUUUACCUUGUAGAUGCUGGUUAUGCAAACACACCAUAA